rnacentral:rRNA from 1 species
GUAGGGAAUAUUGGGCAAUGGAUGCAAGUCUGACCCAGCCAUCCCGCGUGCCGGAAGAAGGCCCUCAGGGUUGUAAACGGCUUUUGACGGUGAAGAAUCGACAGGAUGCGUCCUGUUUUGACGGUAGCCGUUGAAUAAGCACCGGCUAACUCCGUGCCAGCAGCCGCGGUAAUACGGAGGGUGCGAGCGUUGUCCGGAUUUAUUGGGUUUAAAGGGUGCGUAGGCUGGAAGGUCAGUCAGAGGUGAAAAGCUGUCGCUUAACGAUAGUCUUGCCGCAGAUACUUCCUUUCUUGGAUGAGGAGGAGGCCACUGGAACGGAUGGUGUAGCGGUGAAAUGCAUAGAUAUCAUCCAGAACACCGAUUGCGAAGGCAGGUGGCUGUACCUUAAUCGACGCUGAUGCACGAAAGCAUGGGGAGCAAACAGGAUUAGAAACCCGGGUAGUCC